GCACAAGCGGUGGAUUAUGUUGUUUAAUUCGACGCAACGCGAAGAACCUUACCAGGCCUUGACAUACUCGGCAAAGCUCUAGAGAUAGAGUGGAGGUUAUCCGGGAUACAGGUGGUGCAUGGUUGUCGUCAGCUCGUGUCGUGAGAUGUUGGGUUAAGUCCCGCAACGAGCGCAACCCUUGUCUUUAGUUACCAUCAUUCAGUUGGGGACUCUAAAGAUACUGCCCCGGUCAACGGGAGGAAGUGGGAUGACGUCAAGUCCUCAUGGCCCUUAUGUCCAGGGCUACACACGUGCUACAAUGGGCAGUACAAAGGGUAGCAAGCCUGCGAAGGUGAGCCAAUCUCAAAAAGCUGUUCGUAGUUCGGAUUGGAGUCUGCAACUCGACUCCAUGAAGCUGGAAUCGCUAGUAAUCGCGGAUCAGCAUGCCGCGGUCGAAUACGUUACCGGGCCUU
rnacentral:rRNA from 1 species